CGGUCGCCGCGGUAAUACGUAGGGCGCAAGCGUUAUCCGGAAUUAUUGGGCGUAAAGAGCUCGUAGGCGGUUUGUCGCGUCUGCCGUGAAAGUCCGGGGCUCAACCCCGGAUCUGCGGUGGGUACGGGCAGACUAGAGUGAUGUAGGGGAGACUGGAAUUCCUGGUGUAGCGGUGAAAUGCGCAGAUAUCAGGAGGAACACCGAUGGCGAAGGCAGGUCUCUGGGCAUUAACUGACGCUGAGGAGCGAAAGCAUGGGGAGCGAACAGGAUUAGAUACCCCUGUAGUCCCUGUCUCUUAUAC
rnacentral:rRNA from 1 species